rnacentral:rRNA from 1 species
GACGAACGCUGGCGGCGUGCCUAAUACAUGCAUGUAGAACGCUGAAGGAGGAGCUUGCUUCUCUGGAUGAGUUGCGAACGGGUGAGUAACGCGUAGGUAACCUGCCUGGUAGCGGGGGAUAACUAUUGGAAACGAUAGCUAAUACCGCAUAAGAGUAGAUGUUGCAUGACAUUUGCUUAAAAGGUGCAAUUGCAUCACUACCAGAUGGACCUGCGUUGUAUUAGCUAGUUGGUGAGGUAACGGCUCACCAAGGCGACGAUACAUAGCCGACCUGAGAGGGUGAUCGGCCACACUGGGACUGAGACACGGCCCAGACUCCUACGGGAGGCAGCAGUAGGGAAUCUUCGGCAAUGGACGGAAGUCUGACCGAGCAACGCCGCGUGAGUGAAGAAGGUUUUCGGAUCGUAAAGCUCUGUUGUAAGAGAAGAACGAGUGUGAGAGUGGAAAGUUCACACUGUGACGGUAUCUUACCAGAAAGGGACGGCUAACUACGUG